rnacentral:rRNA from 1 species
UACAGAGGUCUCAAGCGUUGUUCGGAUUCAUUGGGCGUAAAGGGUGCGUAGGCGGCGCGGUAAGUCGGGUGUGAAAUUUCGAGGCUUAACUUCGAAGCUGCAUUCGAUACUGCCGUGCUUGAGGACUGGAGAGGAGACUGGAAUUUACGGUGUAGCGGUGAAAUGCGUAGAUAUCGUAAGGAAGACCAGUGGCGAAGGCGGGUCUCUGGACAGUUCCUGACGCUGAGGCACGAAGGCCAGGGGAGCGAACGGG